UUUGAUGUUCAUGAAAAUAGCACUUUUAAUGCUUCAUGUACUCUCUUUUCAGCAGCUAAUUAAUGGACGUCCCUUGCAUGCUGGACAACUCCUUUAAAACAUGUUCUGCUGCACAUUGAAUUCGGCCAGCCACUUUAAUGCAUUCCAGCAUCUCAUUGAAUGGUCGACUCUUGCAUGCCCAACAGCACCUUAAAUACAUGUCUAUGCUUUACAUUAA
rnacentral:lncRNA from 1 species